UACGAAGGGUGCAAACGUUGCUCGGAAUUAUUGGGCGUAAAGCGCACGUAGGCGGCUUAGCAAGUCGGAUGUGAAAUCCCUCGGCUCAACCAAGGAAGUGCAUCCGAAACUGCUGAGCUUGAGUACUUAAGAGGAUCGCGGAAUUCCCGGUGUAGAGGUGAAAUUCGUAGAUAUCGGGAGGAGCACCAGUGGCGAAGGCGGCGAUCUGGGAAGAUACUGACGCUGAGGUGCGAAAGCGUGGGGAGCAAACAGG
rnacentral:rRNA from 1 species